rnacentral:tRNA from 1 species
CAGGGAGACAACAAAAUGUUUAUAUUAUUAUUUUGUCACCUUAGGUCGAUCGGUAUCUCACAUUCUUAAUCAAUUAAGAAUUUCAUUUCCUAAGUUUUUUCUAGGUCACACCCAUUAUUUUUCCUGGGCCAUUAGCUCAGGUGGUUAGAGCGCACCCCUGAUAAGGGUGAGGUCCCUGGUUCAAGUCCAGGAUGGCCCAUAUCUCUAUGUUGGGGGUAUAGCUCAGUUGGUAGAGCGCCUGCUUUGCAAGCAGGAUGUCAGCGGUUCGAGUCCGCUUACCUCCACUGAUUACCACCUCUUCCAUAAUCUGUAGAAAGGAAAUUUUUUGAGUUGUGAUCAAAUUCUGAACGAAUCUAGCUUCCUAAUGAAAGUAUUAAGAUGCUGGACUCAUUGAAUUAAUUUCAUUGUUUUCAGAGAACCUUGACAACUGCAUAGAUUAUUUUUAAAGACAAUAAGCAUCUUUAAUGAUGCAGAUUUAUUAUUUGUGCGAAUGCAUUAAUAACAAUUCUAUUAAGCUGAUGCUUCAAUUUCGAAGUUAUU